GGAUUAGAUACCCUGGUAGUCCACGCCGUAAACGUUGAACACUAGUUGUUGUGGGUAUUGACCCCCGCAGUGACGACGCUAACGCAUUAAGUGUUCCGCCUGGGGACUACGGCCGCAAGGCUAAAACUCAAAGGAAUUGACGGGGGCCCGCACAAGCGGUGGAGUAUGUGGUUUAAUUCGACGCAACGCGCAGAACCUUACCCGGUCUUGACAUUGAGGGAAAGCACGCAGAAAUGCGUGCCCCCACCUUCGGGUGGCCCGAAAACAGGUGCUGCAUGGCUGUCGUCAGCUCGUGCCG
rnacentral:rRNA from 1 species